GAUGAACGCUGGCGGCGUGCCUAAUACAUGCCAGUCGAGCGAACAGACGAGGAGCUUGCUCCUCUGACGUUAGCGGCGGACGGGUGAGUAACACGUGGAUAACCUACCUAUAAGACUGGGAUAACUUCGGGAAACCGGAGCUAAUACCGGAUAAUAUAUUGAACCGCAUGGUUCAAUAGUGAAAGACGGUUUUGCUGUCACUUAUAGAUGGAUCCGCGCCGCAUUAGCUAGUUGGUAAGGUAACGGCUUACCAAGGCGACGAUGCGUAGCCGACCUGAGAGGGUGAUCGGCCACACUGGAACUGAGACACGGUCCAGACUUCUACGGGAGGCAGCAGUAGGGAAUCUUCCGCAAUGGGCGAAAGCCUGACGGAGCAACGCCGCGUGAGUGAUGAAGGUCUUCGGAUCGUAAAACUCUGUUAUUAGGGAAGAACAAAUGUGUAAGUAACUAUGCACGUCUUGACGGUACCUAAUCAGAAAGCCACGGCUAACUACGUG
rnacentral:rRNA from 1 species